CGGGUGAGUAACACGUGGAUAACCUACCUAUAAGACUGGGAUAACUUCGGGAAACCGGAGCUAAUACCGGAUAAUAUAUUGAACCGCAUGGUUCAAUGGUGAAAGACGGUUUUGCUGUCACUUAUAGAUGGAUCCGCGCCGCAUUAGCUAGUUGGUAAGGUAACGGCUUACCAAGGCAACGAUGCGUAGCCGACCUGAGAGGAUGAUCGGCCACACUGGAACUGAGACACGGUCCAGACUCCUACGGGAGGCAGCAGAU
rnacentral:rRNA from 1 species